rnacentral:rRNA from 1 species
GACGAACGCUGGCGGCAUGCCUAAUACAUGCAAGUCGAGCGAACAGAUGAAGUGCUUGCACUUCUGACGUUAGCGGCGAACGGGUGAGUAACACGUAAGGAAUCUACCUAUAAGCGGGGGAUAACAUUCGGAAACGGGUGCUGAUACCGCAUAAUAUCUUCUUCCGCAUGGAAGACGAUUGAAAGACGGCCCUGCUGUCACUUAUAGAUGACCUUGCGGUGCAUUAGUUAGUUGGUGGGGUAAUGGCCUACCAAGACGAUGAUGCAUAGCCGACCUGAGAGGGUGAUCGGCCACAUUGGGACUGAGACACGGCCCAAACUCCUACGGGAGGCAGCAGUAGGGAAUCUUCCGCAAUGGGCGAAAGCCUGACGGAGCAAUGCCGCGUGAGUGAAGAAGGCCUUCGGGUCGUAAAACUCUGUUAUAAGAGAAGAACAAAUUGUAGAGUAACUGCUACAGUCUUGACGGUAUCUUAUCAGAAAGCCACGGCUAACUACGUGCCAGCCGCCGCAGUAA